GACAAAUUAAAUAAAACCCAGUAUGGGUCGGAAGGGGAGCGGAGAGCCACGCUGGCCAUCAGCGGUGGAGUAGGACAGUCAGUGAUGGGAGGAACAGUAGGGAAGGAAGGGAGAGGUGGGCAGGCCUGAGGAGUGGAGGCAGAGGAUGUUAGAGGAAGGCAGGAAAGGUUGACGGCUCUGGGUGGAAGGAAGACGAAAAAGGGGAGAAGAUGCUAAGGUUAGACACAGAGUUGAGUUGGUCCUCAUCAGGACUUUUGCAGAGGAACAUGUGAGGUUCUGCUCUGUCCCUGCGAGGCUGAGAGAGCUGUCAUGGACAAACAUCUGCAUCUAGGAUCAAUGAGAACAAGUUGAACAUUAACUGGAUAUUGUUUGAUUAGCAGCCAUUUCUUUCUUCUUCUUGUCCUGCUCAUCAUUUUUACAAAAGGUUUAUAAAAAGUGUAGAAAUGUCAGAACUCGUCUCAUCCUUGAUGGAUAUAUGGAGAAAAAAGAUGGACGUCUGGAGAACGGAGUGAAGAUUAAAUGUAAAGACGGAAAACACGACAAGUACCCUGAUCUCCCCCUGGUGGCUGGUUGCAGUUAAGUUAUUUUUCGGGUGCUCUUGAACGACAUGAAGAUAACGCGCUACAUACUCCUAACCAUGAAAACACCACCUAAAGGCCACGGACAUCUCUACUUCAAGUGCUCACGAUGUGAAACCGCAUGGAGAGAAGACGGCUCACCAGCAGCUUUGUGAUUCUUGGACAGCCUGGUUCCUGCAGACUGGACACACUGGCUCCUGUAGACUGGACACGCUGGUUUCUGCAGACUAGACACACGGUCUCGAACUGAGCAGCAGCUGAUGUGACACUGUGCAUUUCCCGAGCACCUGACGACGACACGGACACUGAAAAGACAAACACUGUGCGGAAUAUCAACUAACACGUUCACAUGGACCACAUCACACAGGACUUGGAUUCAUAUUCACCUGGAUCCAUAUUCAAUGCUCCAAAUAAAACCUGAAGUCACCUGAGGACAGCAGGAAAACCUUCCUACUUGGCCCGUGCAGUUUGUGGCUAACGAAGCACAACCAACUGACAUCAGCUUCCCCUCUUUAUCUCACUAAAGAUCAGAAACACAUCCCGCAACUUACCAACAAACAAUCAUCAGGGAAAGUGCCUGAACAGAUACAAUGAGUGAUGCUCAACAUGUUGCUUGGAUCAAUAAAAACAGGAGUUAAACCUGUUGAUUAG